AACCCUAAGCGGUGGAUCACUCGGCUCAUGGGUCGAUAAAGAACGCAGCAAACUGUGCGUCAUCGUGUGAACUGCAGGACACAUAAACAUCGAAAUUUUGAACGCAUAUCGCAGUCCAUGCUGUUAUGUACUUUAAUUAAUUUUAUUGUAAGACUAUGCUUAUUACGUUGUUU
rnacentral:rRNA from 1 species